AUUGAACGCUGGCGGCAUGCUUUACACAUGCAAGUCGAACGGCAGCGCGGGCUUCGGCCUGGCGGCGAGUGGCGAACGGGUGAGUAAUACAUCGGAACGUGCCCAGUCGUGGGGGAUAGCUCGGCGAAAGCCGGAUUAAUACCGCAUACGACCUGAGGGUGAAAGCGGGGGAUCUUCGGACCUCGCGCUAUUGGAGCGGCCGAUGGCAGAUUAGCUAGUUGGUUGGGUAAAGGCCUACCAAGGCGACGAUCUGUAGCUGGUCUGAGAGGACGACCAGCCACACUGGGACUGAGACACGGCCCAGACUCCUACGGGAGGCAGCAGUGGGGAAUUUUGGACAAUGGGCGAAAGCCUGAUCCAGCAAUGCCGCGUGUGUGAUGAAGGCCUUCGGGUUGUAAAGCACUUUUGGCGGGAACGAAAAGGACUGUGCCAAUACCACGGUUCGAUGACGGUACCCGCAGAAUAAGCACCGGCUAACUACGUG
rnacentral:rRNA from 1 species